UCAGCAGUCAAAAAUAUUAGUCAAUGCUCGUAAGAGUGAACUAGCUAACUGAAAUCAAAGAGUUUAUUUAAACUCAUGAUGUCGUAAGGGAAAAUAAUGAUAAUACCUUACUAUGAGUGUCGUCCAAAUCUGGUGCCAGAAGACUCGGUAAGACCAGAGACGCAAACGUUAAUCAUCAUAAUCAGGCGUAAAGGGUUUGUAGGCAGCUUUAACCUUAUCUAAGGAGAGCUAGAAUCAAAAAGAGGUUAUAGUGUAUAACGCCUAGAGGAGGGCUGAUAUCCAUAGAUCCUAGGCAGAAUACUCAGGGCGAAGGCCACUCUCCAGUAAUGAUUGACGCUGAGAAACGAAGGUUAGGGUAGGAAAUAGGAUUAGAUACCCCGGUACUCCUUUCUGUAAACGAUGAAUGGUAGUCAUUAGUUCUAACUAGAGACGAAGUUAACACAAUAACCAUUCCGCCUUGUGAGUACUACUGCAAAGUAGAAAACAAAAAAAUAGCAGUUAGUCAAGAAUUUUGGUUUCUGU
rnacentral:rRNA from 1 species